rnacentral:lncRNA from 1 species
GAAGGACUCCCCAGUACUCCCCAGUACCCCACAGAGGCGAAGUCCCAAAACCAGAGCUCUGCUGAGUCACAGAAUUUGAGAACUGGAAGGAGUUCUUAGAGGUCAUUUAUUCUGAACUUUUCAACAAAGAAGCUCCUGUAAAAUAUACUGAACAGGACUUAUGAGAAAGAAUGCUAUCUACAUUCAGAGGAAGAACUGUGGGAAUAGACACACAAAAGAAAAACAACUGCUUGAUCACAAGUGCUUGCCCAUGGUAAUGUUUUCUGUAGAUAGAAUCAGCUCCCCUUACCCACAGCUUGUCUCCACCUUGCUGCAUGGCUGGAUGUGAAAUAAAAGGUCUAAACAGAAGUCA